rnacentral:tRNA from 1 species
GGAGAGGUACCGAAGCGGUCGUAACGGGGCCGACUCGAAAUCGGCUGUGCCGCGAGAGCGGCACCGUGGGUUCGAAUCCCACCCUCUCCGCCA